rnacentral:rRNA from 1 species
UACGAGGGGGGCAAGCGUUGUUCGGAAUUAUUGGGCGUAAAGGGUGCGUAGGCGGUUUGAUAAGUCAUCUGUGAAAUCUCUGGGCUCAACCCAGAGUCUGCAGGCGAAACUGUUAGACUUGAGUACGAGAGAGGUGAGUGGAAUUCCCAGUGUAGAGGUGAAAUUCGUAGAUAUUGGGAAGAACACCAGUGGCGAAGGCGGCUCACUGGCUCGUAACUGACGCUCAGGCGCGACAGCGUGGGGAUCAAAC